rnacentral:rRNA from 1 species
GAUGAACGCUGGCGGCGUGCCUAAUACAUGCAAGUCGAGCGAACAGACGAGGAGCUUGCUCCUCUGACGUUAGCGGCGGACGGGUGAGUAACACGUGGAUAACCUACCUAUAAGACUGGGAUAACUUCGGGAAACCGGAGCUAAUACCGGAUAAUAUAUUGAACCGCAUGGUUCAAUAGUGAAAGACGGUUUUGCUGUCACUUAUAGAUGGAUCCGCGCCGCAUUAGCUAGUUGGUAAGGUAACGGCUUACCAAGGCAACGAUGCGUAGCCGACCUGAGAGGGUGAACGGCCACACUGGAACUGAGACACGGCCCAGACUCCUAGGGGAGGCAGCAGUAGGGAAUCUUCCGCAAUGGGCGAAAGCCUGACGGAGCAGCGCCGCGUGAGUGAUGAAGGUCUUCGGAUCGUAAAACUCUGUUAUUAGGGAAGAACAAAUGUGUACGUAACUAUGCACUUCUUGACGGUACCUAAUAAGAAAGCCCCGGCUAACUACGUG